ACAGCUCUGCAAUUACAGGUUUCUACAUGUAAAUAAGAUCACAUCUUCACAGAUUGUUUAAACCUCACCCCAAGAUUAAAUACUGGAUUAUAUGCAUCAUACCUAUAUGCAAGACCAUCUUCUGUCUGUACUAACAGCAAAGGGAAAAUACAAAGUAUUUCAUCUGACAGUAGUGAAGAGGACAGAAGAGGAUGCUAAAUCCCUCAAGUAAUCAGGAGUUUAAAGUAUUUCUGAACCAGCACUUCCAUCUGACUCAUGUAGUGAUGAAUUUUCUCCAAAUGCAUCUACUGACCUGCUUUAAUCUUGUAAAGUAUACAUGGGUUUGCUUUCCGAGUGUGGCACUCACUGCUAAAAAUGUCUGAAUGCUGGGAGCAAAUAAACAUUUGUUUGUUUGUCUGUUUUACCCCCCGCUCCAAUUUCACUGACCCACCAAGAAGGAGGGCUGCAGCAGGGUGCUGGGGCAUGUGUUAAAAUUAAAUCAUCACUGCACUUCUCUGUAACAACUUCUCUUGGGCUAUGCGACCAUACUCUGUCAUAGAGUCAAGUUUCAUCUGCAAAAUAAUUAACAGUGUCAUACAAUAAACUACUGCAAGGGUGGUUUAGAAUAUAAUUUCUCCAGGUGUUAAAUUGCCCACCCCUGCGCUACUGUGGCCACUUAGUAUCCAUUCAACUCUGAACCACUUUUCUUCUCAAGCUCUUCCCCUCUGCCCCCAUUCCUCACCCUGAAAAAGCAAUACUGUUACCAAGGGCUGUGUCUGCCAUACACAGAAAAAAGCUGCUCUCUUUCCCAAAAUCCUAUCCUAAAAGUUCUUUUAAGGACUUGUUAAUAAUUUGAACUUUAGAAGUAUAUUAAUCGAGACUUACAGUGGUAAAUAAGUAAACCUGUCUUCAUUUCCCUCUCUCGUACAAAAACGGUACUGAAGUUUGAGAUUGCUGUGACAUUCAUUGUCUUCUCCACAUCCUUCUUUUAAGAACUCCACCUAAAUAAAACCAAACCAAUUUUACUGCCUGACACACAAUAGUAGCUUAAAAUCAGAUUUCUGAAGCACAUUGACUAAAGCAUCUACAUGGAACUCACAAGACACUUUCCUGGACAGAGCUCAGAUUUUAACCUGACUUAAUUCUUGCCUGUUGAGUUUUGCUUUGUGAGAUACAGCCCUUGAUGCUGGUAGUUUAGAACUAAAAAGCAGAGUUGGAUAAUUCUAAAUGAGAGGUCCGCUUCUUAUGAGAAAAUACAUCUUAAAAGUGUGAUUCUUCAAUAAGCAUUGAGGAAAUGAGAAUCUUUAAUGGAGAUACUCCCUUCCUUCUAUGUCACUUCUGCAGUCACUGCUCAAAUGCCAUUCCAGUAUCCUAACAGUGGACAAAUUAAGAGUGGACAUUAUCUGGUUAUGUUGGACAAAUGUUCCCAGGAGGAUCCAAUGAAUUUCUAUUUUUAAUCAAAGUACACUUCCUCCUUAACUUGCUGGGGAGAGGGAAGAAACCAAGGAGCUAUAUCAUCACUUUUGUUGCAGGAGAACACAGUACAGAGUUCCUAAAUGUUGUAACAAGUUCAGAAGAAAAGAUAAAAUAAUAAUCCAAUAGUUACAUGUCCAGUGCCACCCCAGUUAUUUCCUCUGGACAUAAUUUAGUUUUCUCCAGUCUUUAAAAUUAAGUUAUUUGUAGAAGUACAGAUUUUUGUGAAUAUAUGGUAUCAAAGACUUACUUUUGUGGUCUCUGUUUCAGAUUCAUUUGAAUUUAGAAUUGGUAUAAGAUCUGGAAGUGCGCUCUCUUUUCUCUUGGAUGGUGACUCCAGGCCAGCAAUUUUAACACUGACUGAUAUUGGAAUGGGACGUAGCUUAUCUUUAAUUUUUUCCUGUUAAAAUAUUUUAAAUUGCAUCAUUAGUAUACAGUGCAGAGAAUAAAAAAACAACAUGAAGAUGAGCUUUGAUACUGUAUAUAAAUUCAGCAUUUUCUAAACAUGCAGGAACACAAAGAGCCCAGCACUAUUGUCCUUUUUUUCCCUCUGGUUUCCCAAUCUGACAAUUUCUCUCACCAUUAAGAAUUGCUAAGAACCACAGACAGUACUUCAGGCAGGUGAAAUUCACACAGCUAUAGUAAAAUAACACACUGGAACAGGUUUGAGUAAUAUAGUCUAGUAAAAGGUGUCAACCCAAAUCAUUCUAUGAUUCUAUUCUAUUCAUAAAUUUAAGUUCUUAAUCUGCUGCGGUCAAAAUCAACCUUGGAGGCUGACUCAUUCCUGCUGAGCCAUGAAGAGGGAACGUGUUUAGCCUCUGGAGCAAUACCACCUCUAGGCGCCACUACAGCAGCCAAGUCCAGAGAGCACAUAUCAACCUUUCUCACCUUGUCCAUUCAUCCACACCAAAACCCAUGGGUUAAAAUUCUUUUCCUGAACAGUAACCUAAAAUUCUCUAACAAUUAUUUCUGUUGGAAGCAGCUCUCUGUUUUUGGCACUUAGUUGCUCUCUGUGGUUCGAAAUUAGUUCAGCUCCAUUGACCACCAGAGUGUGCUGCAGUGGCUAGUUUUUAUCCAUACUUUGAAAGAAAGGCAACAGGAGGAAGCAGCAUGUAUGCAGAGAAUAGUAAAAUAUGGUGGGUUUCUAUUUUUGAAGUUUUAUAUUGCAUAUGACUUUUAAAUUAUAUACAAAAUUAUAUACAAAGGUUCCUUCCAUGAGGCUGCCAAAAAAGAGUAUUCUUUUGCUUUAAGUGGAUCUAAAUGAAACAGAAAUAGAAUACUCUCCCUUACCUGCAGUAUAAGCUUUGUAGUCACACACUCCCAUGAGUUCUGUCCCCUGAGGGUUGUACUUGCAGUGAACUGAUCAGACGGGUGGUCACUGAAGCGCACCCUGGAGGGCAGGCCCAGCUGCCGCCUCUCGUUUUCCACUUCAAAUGUGUAAUUGAUCUCUAUGUGAAAAAAUAAAGUAGGUCACUAUAAAAAAAAGAAUCCUUGCCAUUUUAAAAAUAACUUUAAUUUCACAAGAUAUGAUCUUAAGCAUUAUUCUAGAAGACUGUUCCAGACAGUGCUGAGCUUCACAAACUGCAUUCGGUCAUUUAAAAAAAAUAAACUUUCUCCAUGUCAGUUUUGUCCUGCCACAAGUUGAGGGCCAGGUACCCUGUGUGUAAAUCUAAAGAAAAUUUCUAGACCAAAUCCUGUUAUUCCGGAACCUCAUAAACCGCUCCCUCGGGCAUGCGGGGCUGGCUGGGGGAGCUGUGAUUGCCGUACGGGGCCAGCAGAGGGCUGAGCUACCCACUGUGAAUAUCCCAACUGUGCUGCAGGGGAUUCCUGCAGGGUCCCCAACAGCACCUGAGAGCCAGCAGGAUUCUGAGUUCAAGAUACACCGGUAAUUUCAACACUGAAAGCAGAAGUGCGACUAGAGCUGUCCAGCUGUGUGCUGAGGCCUGCUUUCCUAGAUCCGAACUUGGUGCAUCGUUUAAUGAUUGCUUCACUGAGCUAAUUCAGUGCUGCACAGAUGGAAACAGCACCGAGUGUGCCAAGGCACUGAGAGCUGCAAGCACUUCACCUGCUAAAGGACCAGCUCUCAUUCGGGCACAGCCUUUGGAUUUUAAAAGUAACUGAGAAACUCAAGACAAUAUAGGAGAAAAAAGGUCACUGGGCUUAAAGUUCUUCUGAUUUCCUCUCAAAAUCUUACACAGUUCUCCAAGAGGUAGUAACAAGUGCUUUACAUCUUUAUGGCACAGUCUUCUAUUAAUGCAGAUUUAUUUCAGUCAAUGAUUUCCACCAAACCAUUUUCAUGAAUACAGGAUAGGUUAAUACGGUAAACCUCCAAAUAGAAAUAAUGCUCACUAAGGAUGUAUAAAAUGGGCCUUAAAAAAGGUUUAGAAUUCUCUAAAGCAGCACUAACCUAGAGAGGGAAAAUGGUUUGGAUCUGUAUAGAAGCCAUUUGCUCACUGGCAGUUGUAUUACUUAGAAAGCUUUAGUCUGUCAUCCACAGAACAGCUUAACACACCAGCACGACUCUAAAUACAGACUGUGCAACAGCUGAGCUUAGCACUGAGUCACAUUUUAAAUUUGUCAGUCACUGUCUGAGAUGAGUCACUAUAAUUUGAGUAAUAUGUUUCCAUGAUGAACUCUUAAGAAAAAAAAAAAAAAAAAAAACAUGUGACAAACAGAUCAAAAAUACUUAUCUUCAGAACUUACUUAUUCUUGGAUUUAAAUUUCUGGGGUUUGCAGUAUAUUUAAAACAUGCUUUCACAUCCAUCCUGUAAAAAGUGCCAAGAAAUUAGUACUAAUUUUUAUUAAGCCAUGUUCCAACAGAAUGAAAAGUUUUAACUUAUCAGUCUUAUGACUGUGGUAUUUACUGCUUACUAGACUGAAUUCUAAAGCAAGAAAAAAUGGUUAAUAAGCAAUUAAGCAUUUGCUCUAAUGUCUCUACUCAAAACAAAGCUGUUCAAGCCAAGAUACUUUUGUUAAAAGUCUGACGAGGCAAGGUGACAUUCAUUUUCAAAAAUGAACGUCAUGAGGACAUAUUCCAUACCUUGUCUUUAGCAGAGCAGCCUGAAGAAAUUCAGGAAGUCAAAAUGAACAUAUGCAGAUACAUUUGCUUAACCUGCAUGACUCUCAUAUCCCUUCACUUAAACAUGAUCACUGAAUCAAUUUCGACAGUAGUAAGCUCAAUACGCCAAGGCUUCUCAUAGAGUAAUUUCUAAUUUCUUUUUUUCAUUUACCUGAUUUCACCAUGGUCCUCAGGGUUCCUUUUCUUUAGAUCAAUUCUAUCAGGCUGUACUGUAAUGUUUCUUCUAAUGCUUAUCACAGGCCGAGAUCUUCAUUUGGGGGAAAAACGGGGAAUAAAAAGAUGUAAAAAAUAAGUAAUUUCUGUUAAUAUUAAUGAAAUUAUUAAUGAGAAUAUCAGAUUCCCUCCACACCAGCACUGAUUUCAACAAAGACACUCCAAAAAACACAGAGUUUGGCUUUGACACUGGUUAGAAAAAAAUCUGAAAACUAUUAAAAGCUAAGCAAAGGUCACUGAGAACAAUUACAGAUCCUGAGGGGGAAGCAGGCUACAGUAAUGUGAUGUUGCUGUUGUCAUUCUAUACACUUAUAAAAAACAGAAAAGUCAGUGGUGGCUUCUACCACCAGUAGUAAUUCAGCCCCUGGGAACAACUAUAGGUACUACAGUUCGUUCAGAUUCAUGUUCAUAAGAGCCUGGUGGCUGUGGGAAAUGGUGUUUCCUGCUUCUUCUGCAUGUAGGCUGUAACCAUACUUCUGCCUGACAACCUGUCUUUUCUCCUUCUGGAUGGGAGAAGACAUUUCACAGGAACAAAUGAAUGAGGUGACCCUGUUCUCAUUAAAGCAUCCAAAGGUUGUUUAAAGCAGCUGGUAAGCCACCUGCUCCAUGUAACUGGGCCACUCCUUUCACUGUUUGUCACUGUAAGAGGUUUUUGUUCUCAUCCUGGUAGAAGAUUUUGUCCUGCCUUUAUCAGCAAAAUAUUAAAGCUCCUUUUGAGUAAGCAGAAUGCUAAAUAAUCUGACCAACUUCUCUACCACCUACUCUGUUCUCUUCCACAAGCCAUGUGAGUUGCUGUUCUUGGGCGCCGUUCCAGUGUAUUUAAGAACAUUACAAUUAUAUGCACAGAUCCUAUACAGCUUAGAGAUGGGAGCAUAACAUUUAGAAAGGGCUGUUCUGCCUGAAAAGUAAAGCUGUUUAUCCCAAAGCCCUGGUGUAAUUAAUUAAGGUUCCAUAUAUAAUACCUGUACACAUUUACAGAAUCUGACAGGGAACCAACAGCAACAUCAGGGUAGGAAUUUUUAUCCAGGUCCAUAUUUCCAGCAAUAGAGUAACCAAAGAAAUUGGUGUUUGUUUUUUCACCAUCAAUAAUCUAAAAAGGAAACAGAUUGAGGGAAUUCAGACAUUUAAAAGUGAUAAAGGUAAAGUAAGUAACAAGUAAACAUAACUGUCUUACAGGCAAAGACAAAAGAGGGAAAGAGAUACAAUGAGGAAGGACCUCUGAAAUAGGACCUCUGUGCUCAGUUCAGCUAAAGGAUAAUGAAGUGCCAGGAUGAUUUGCUCUUCUUUCAAGAAGUUACUUGGCAAUAGCAGUGAGUACCAGAAAUUACUGAUCUGCCAAGAGCCUAGUUCAUCUUUAUUUACAGUAUUUAUGGACUAUCAACACUUGAAACAGAAGACAUAUUCUAUAAAGUAUUCAAGCAGUAUUCUACGGAGUAUAAUGAAGUUCCAUUCCCACUCUGCAAAUUGGACACAGUGACCCUCAAAACAAAACAAAAACACAACAAAAAACCAACCAAACAACAAAAAAAACCAACAACAACCAACCAAACAUUUUUAGGAAGGAAGUGAAACAAUAGUAAUGAAAGAGAAAACAAAGAAACUAAUUGUUUUCAAAUCAACAGAUUUAAAAAAAAAAAAACAAAAACCAUAAUUUAUCUAUACAUCUUUUUCCUUCUUCAUAUAUUACUGGUGCCAAUGGAUAGCCCCAGAAAUAAAAAUAUAUAUAUUAAUAUCAAGAAUUCUUAAUCUUUCCUGUCAGCAGUCCAAUCUUUAAAGGGCCCUGCAUUCCUGCUUAGCCAACACCCCAAUAAUAGCAAUGGAAAGGAAGAUGGAUAGUAGCCCUAUCAUUCCUUUAAUUUUGUUCAAGAAUAAUUAUAUAAUAAAGGUUAUUUCAUUA